rnacentral:rRNA from 1 species
AUUGAACGCUGGCGGCAUGCCUUACACAUGCAAGUCGAACGGCAGCACGGGAGCAAUCCUGGUGGCGAGUGGCGAACGGGUGAGUAAUAUAUCGGAACGUGCCCAGUCGUGGGGAUAACGUAGCGAAAGCUACGCUAAUACCGCAUACGAUCUACGGAUGAAAGCGGGGGAUCGCAAGACCUCGCGCGAUUGGAGCGGCCGAUAUCAGAUUAGGUAGUUGGUGAGGUAAAGGCUCACCAAGCCGACGAUCUGUAGCUGGUCUGAGAGGACGACCAGCCACACUGGGACUGAGACACGGCCCAGACUCCUACGGGAGGCAGCAGUGGGAAUAUUGGACAAUGGGCGAAAGCCUGAUCCAGCAAUGCCGCGUGAGUGAUGAAGGCCUUAGGGUUGUAAAGGCUCUUUUUACCCGGGAUGAUAAUGACAGUACCGGGAGAAUAAGCCCCGGCUAACUCCGUGCCAGCAGCCGCGGU